AUCCUGGGGGACGCCUGUGUCUCACCGAGCGCUCGCCGUGCGGUGUGUUUAUCUGCCGUAGGAUGCAGCAGCUUUUUCCACCGUCUGGCGGUGUACAGUAAAUAGUUCAGCCUCCGGGCUUAGGGGAAGCUUUUCCCAGCUCGCUGGACCGUCAGGGUGUAGGGGCUGCCUCUAACUACAACCACAGCUGACACUCCUCCAGCAUGCUUUUUCGUUCUUCGUCUGCUCUGCAGUCGGUGGGGAAGGCUUGGAAUAUUAACCCAAUUUAAGGAUCUAUGAUAUAAGUGUACUGCUGGAUUUAACAGCUGGUUUGGGACCAAUAUUUACAUCCUCAUUUACGGGGCCGUGAUGAGGGUUCGAACCUACGUCCGUGAGGAUCCCAGACGCGCCUUAAUUGACUUGAGUUACGACAUGGUAAAAGAAUUGCAACCGGGAAAUCAACUUGACCUACCACAGAUCCUGCAGUAUCUCCGAGACAAACCAGAUUAAACAACUGGGGCCCUAAGUAGACUACCAAGUUAAGCCAACCUUAGAUGCACCAAGCCACUAAGCCCCAGCCUUACCUAACAGGAGUCAGUAGGUAAGGAGAACCUAUCAACAUCUGACUCUCAACAAGGCAAAGAGAGCUUCAGGAUUAGAAAGUGAAGGGAUGACGACGUUUCGAUCCAUCCUGGACCAUUCUCAAGUAAUAGUUUUCAAUAUUUUAGUACCAUCAUGACAUUUUGUUAGGUUUGUGUACAUUAAACCUGUUCAUAAAACAUUAAAGCAAAAUCUAUUUUUUUUAUACUAACUACAGCUAAAAUACACUUAAGCAUAAACCAUGUUCAUAUUAUAAGAUAAACAAAAAAGAAAAGUGA